UUGUUUUUGUGUUACAUAUAGUUGGUCACAUGCCCGAUAAUUAGUUGUGAUUAACUUUCAGUUUUUAGCAUGGAAUGCCGAGCUUGACAAAUAUUGCAUGCUGUUAACUUGCCCUUGUUCUCCUGUAGUGCUGAUAAAGCUUGUGAUAUCCAUGCACCUCAGUCUCGAAAUAUUGCUUGCUGCAGUGACGCGUCUCCUCCUCUUUAUGCAAUAUCAUCGUCAUGGAUGAAGUGCAUUAAAAGAUUCAUCAAUGCUGAAGCUUUGUGUUGAAGAAGGUUGUUGCACAACGAAGGGAUUUUAAGCUAAUUGUCACAUCUGCAACUAUAAAUGCAAAUCUUUGGAGGGUAAGUUAACUUGUUAUUUUUUCAAUGGUUAAGAUUAGUUUCCAUUGUCUUUCUCCGCAUACCCUAUAAUUAUUUCAUUUUGUUUGCACUGUACCUAUAUUUAGCAUUUCAUGCAGGUCAUUUCCAGCAAAUAUCUUGUUCAGCAAAGCACCCCGUGAUGAUUAUGUGCAAGCGUAUGUGAAUCUUCAAUAUAUUGAAUAAGGUUUUUAUUGCUGAGAGAUAUUAACUUGGAUUUGUAAAGAUUAUCAACGGGAGUCAUAUGUACUUAAAAGUUUGGAAAGUACUUUUCAGAAUUGCUUAUCCACCCUCAGCGUGCUCCUGUUUUAUUUGUAUUUCAGGAAGUUGCCAGUUAGGGGCCAGUGUCCAAGCCUCAGUGUGUUGAACGGCAAUUCACCCUGGCAUUUGUUGUCAUUCCUGCUGGUCCAGGUACCGCUGGCUCAAAAGUGCGUUUUCAGCAGGCUACCCAUUUCAUGAUGAUUAGAACAAGGCUCUACCAUGUUCAAUCUAAAUAUCAGUGGGAUUCUUACCUGCAUAUUUUAUGAAACGAGAGUUGGCAAUGAAUGUCGAGAUGCUUAAUUAUGUGUUUGGUAAGAUGCCAUAGCUUCGUAAGUUGUUUGUACUGUGUUAAUUAUGUUUGUUUCUUCACUCUGAAGGGUCAUCAUGUCCUUAGUAGAUGUGAGAACAAAAUUAUAACUUGGAGCUUUAGAAGAACCUAAACUAAUAUUCUUACUGACAGAAGUUUCAGAGAUUGAAUAGUGAGCUUAUUGAUUACAAUUGGAUAGAAUAUAUAUUGCUUGGUGUUAUGCUGAGUUAUAACUUAUAAGUGUUUGAAAUAUGCCCUAAUAAGUUUUUAGGAUGCACGUGUCUUUCAAUCCUAUCAUAAAUCGAUGCAAACAGAGAAGGAUUAAAACAAUAUUUUCGUUAUUGGGAAUUUUAAGUGCCAUCUGCUCUCAUACUUCUCACAUGAAAGCUUGAAGAAAAUCUGAAAAAGGCUCCCUUGUUGGAAACUCGGCUUUUACUUUUUAGAAAUACUUAUAUACAAUAGGACUCACUAACGUGUUGGUAUCCUGGUUAAACAUAAUGAGGUUUCACUUUUCAGAAUUAAAAGAAAAUAUCUACCAUCAAGGACUUAAAAUAGUAGAACGUUCCUCUUUUUAAAUUUGGCCAUACUUUCACCAUCGUUAUUUCUGGUCCAGGUACCUAUCAACUUAAGCAUUCUCGCGGUGAUAUUACUUUUAAUUUUUUUAGUUUUCUUGCAAGUUAAAUUUCUACCAUGAAUCGGGUUUGUCUUCCUUUUGCAUAUUUCUGCCAGUGUGGAGGUCAUGUGCAGAGAUGGAGGCAUCCAUGGGCAUGUCUACGGCUAGGAAGCCAGUGAUGCUAUGAAGCAGUCAACCCGUCUUUUGCAUGAAGCAUGUAAACAUGUGUAUUCGUUGUUCAUUCCAACAUAUAUCUACCUAAGACCCCAGUACACCUAUACAUUUUUAAAUAUUUGCGUAUUUUCUUUAUUUAACUUAUCUUCAUGACUAUUAUAUAAAGUAAUCUAUAUGUCCAUGGCACGGGACACCUACAACAUGCUAUGCCAGGGGAGCACGAACUGGAGCGUGAACACCCCAUCUAGGACUCCUUCGCAACCCUUAAAUGCAAAAUAUUUUGCUGGUUGGCGACACGAUACGGGUUUUGGACCUCGGAUCGUAGAGCGAGGCAUGGCUUGCAAGAACACCCAGACGUUUGCUUCACCUGUCUCCAGGACGAGGAUAAUGUGGAUCACAUUCUGGUUCAACGCCCUUACGCAAGGCAAGUCAGGCUAGGCUGCUUUUCUAGGGUGCAGCUGCAGAUAUAGGGACCGCAAGAGGGAGAUAACCUGGAGCGGUGGUGGACCGAAUCUAGGAAACGAGUGCAUAGGAUUGACAGGAGAUUCAACUCUUUGAUCAUCUGGUGGCAUGGACCAUCUGGAAGCAGAGUAGUGCGAGAGUGUUCAAUAACACUGAACAAUAACUGAACUCAGAGCAGAUAACAGACCAGAUUGGAGAAGAGUUUCAGUUAUGGGAGCUAGCUAGGAGAGGAGGGAGCAACAAUCAACCAUGAGAGUAGGCUUUAGUAGGAAGGGUGUUCUUGUGUGUGUUCUAGGAAUGUGUCUCCGUGUGCAUUGGCCCCCGGAUUCUUGUAAUUACUAUGUUUCUUCUUCUAUAAAGAUAAAGCACACUUUGGGUGUGCUCCCGAAAAAAUGUACUCUUCAUAAGUUCAUUUUUUUAUCAAAAUGUCAAUUUAUCAGUUGUCCGUUUCGGUUGUAAUGUCUUUUUCAUCAAUCUUAGUGAUUCUUCUCUAAUUUUUGGAUGAUCUGCUCUAAACUCCAGGCUUAUGUUAAACCUGAUGCAGCUUGUGGCAUAUUAAACCUGAUGCAGCUUGUGGCCUGUGAUGUUUUGUUAUCAACCGUAAAUAUUUAGUUUAUGCAAUGUAAUUCUUCUGAAUUAUUUGAGAGCUGCAAAUGAUUUUUGUAUCUCGCAAGACCGUCGAAAAGGUACCUUGUGUGUUUUAGGUACGAUGGUGGCCAAAUGGGGUUUGGGACAAGAGGUGAGGCUGGAUGGAGCUUUGAGGACCUCCGGUUUGGCGGCAACUUACGACUAUCAUGGGUUAAGCCAGUAUAGGACUUUCAGCAGAUUUGUUCGGAGAUUUCCAUCGAGCCAGGCAUCAUGUCCGUGUGGCCACAAUUGUAGAGAUCUCCCACUUGGCAUAUCCAAUCCAUGGUCUCGAACGGACGGCCACGGCGACGAUGGUGCAGCGUCGGUGUCUGACGAUGAGCCUACUAGGUGUGGUUUCUGAAGGACGCCGAAUGCGGAACUGCGGUGGUCCUCACACCGGUGAUGGAGCGGCAGGGGAGGGACCGGUCUUCUCAAGAGAGUGGUGGAGCUCGAUAAAGUGGGUGAUCUCGAGAGAUUGAGGAGGCAGUCAGCUUUACACCCUUUACAUUACUUUUCUACAAAAGGUUUCCAGAAAAAAAAAAUUGUUAGCCUUUUCCGCAGUACCUUGUCAGUGAAGGUCGCUUCGCUGCAGCAGUAGGGAAGGGGAGAAACUUGCGGCAGCAGUGGCAGGUAGUGGAGGAGCAGGUCCUCUCGCUAGCGGCGGGGAGGCAGAUAAGGGGGCGGCAUAGGCACCGGCGACAGGGACACAAUGGAAGGGAUGGUCGACGCGGUUGUACGAGGGAAAGAGAAGAUAGUGGCAGAGGUUGAGAGUGUUAUGUAUCCGGUUCGUGCUGUCAUUUUCUUUUCUUUCCGUAAUCCAUAGUAGUGCAUACACCUCUUCUUUAUUUUCUUCUCUACAGUGUAGCAAUGAAAUGAGCUACUUCAUCAAUUUAUACACUUCUCAGCAAUGAAGUGAGCUACUUCAUCAAUUUAUACACUUCUCAGUAUUG